UCUUUGGACAACAAGUAGAUGCUGUUCAAAGUGAGAAAGAAAAACAUGAUAAAAAAUAAUCUCUUCCCAUGGUUUAUGAAAUUCUAUCAUUGUUGCUACCUCAUAUUGGUUGGGAAUGACAAUAUCCAUUUUUACGUUUGGUAUUGAUGGAGUUAAACUAAAAGAUGGUCCUGUCUUACUUGCUUAUAAUACAAUCUCAAGGGGCGUGCUUAAAGUUGCAGUGUCCAAAGAUGACGGUGACUGAUGGAUUGAUGUCAUUACGCUAGAGGAAAAUCUGGAGAUGGAAUUCUCAUAUCCAGCAGUUAUCCAGGCUAGUUAUGGAUCUGUUCUUGUCACGUGCACAUACAAUAGGACACAGAUUAAGCAUCUGGGCCUUCAACCAAGUUGAUGAUGAACAGAUUACUCAGGAAUCUCAGAAGGUACUUUCCUCUACCAGUUUCGAUAGAGUAUAGACCCAUGCAUAAACAAUUUAUUAAAUGUAUGGAUAUGCUUUGCUAUAUUUGUGUUUUCAGCAAUUGCUCAAAGCAUUAAAGUAUUAUUGGUGUCUGAAGAAAUUAUGGUCCUUGUUUACUAAUCUGUUUUCUGUGAUUAUAUCAUCAUAAAUUUUGAUGAAAACUUUCCUCUGCAAAUCCAUUAUUGAGCUUGCAACUCACCCAUGAAGAUUUUGUGCGUAGUUUAUGCUUCUUUUUUUUGUUAAUUCAUUUAUUGUUAUAGCUGUUGCUGUCUUUCUAAAACAAUAAUUUGCCGAUUUGCACAUCUUUGUGCAAUAUAUAUAUCUGUUGCCGGUUUAAUUUUGUUAAGCUUUCUAGCUGUGAAAAUUUGGAUUUUUUUUUCCUUUUCUAUUUUAAACUCUAUUGGUUGUAUCAUCUUUUUAAAUGAGGUAAACAUGACCAAUAUUUUGUUGAUGUAUUCUGGACUUGAUUAGAGCCAUGUUGCCUUCUAUUGGGUGAUUUGUACGGUAAUUCUUUUUCGUUGUUCUUGUUUUUUUUUCUGGAAUCCUACACGCGUGAUACUCUGCGUUCGAUACCACUAACAUUUUCUAGUCAAGGACAUUAAUUAGACGAAUUCUUAUAGCUAAGAAAAGGUUUUCACAGGAUUGGAUAGUAAGAUAGUACGCAGGGCUCCUGUAAAGUGGACAUCCCUGGUAGCUAGGAGACAUUUAUCUCGUGUGAUUCUCUUUGAGAAUGGUGGAUGGUUAAGUAGAUUGAAAUAAUCUGGCAACAACUCCCUGUUUUCUUCAGAAAUGAUUAAAGGUAAGUGGACAAGCAUAGAUGUGAAUUCAGUGCAUCUGAUAUUCUGAAACCGUGUUUUAAUGACUUCUAUAUGCCACCAUAACCAUGUGUUAUGGAGGAGCUAUGCAGAAGAAAUGUUGAAAUAAAGAUAACUGGUCAUCUGUAAUUAGGUAAAUAGCAUCACUCUUCCAGAAGAGACAUUUGAACAAUCUUUAAUGAUAGCCAUUAAUUUUCCAUGGCAGGAAAUGACUCAGUUUAAUGAUGUAGAAUGUCUAAAACUUGACUAUUUCUCUCUUUCAUUAUCCAUUCUAAUAUCUUGUGGAUGGAAAUGGGUUGUCUUUAUUGGACAUGCCAUAGAAAAUAAACUCGUUACAUGACCGGACAACAUCAGUUCAUAAUAACACAGUUUUUUUCAGAGAAAGUAAUGAAGAAGUCUGCUCUUUGGUUCUUUCUAAUUUUUUGGAAGUAUAUAUAUGUACCCAAACUUGAAUGGUUUCUUGGCAAUUAAGCAUUGCAAGUGUGGGUCAAGUAAAUUGUGUGUUCAAGGUCUGUGCGGUGAAGAGAAAUAUCCAGAGCCUCAGCAAUCUAAAGUUUCGGUAGCCUGUGUUCUCAGUCUACGUGAAGAUGCUUUUAUGUUCACCAACACACAUGCAUGCAGGUUAUAGGGCUUGUCAGCAGGCCAUUGUAAACGAGGGAGUUAGUGUGUUUAAAGCGUGUGCAAUCUUGUGUUCUAUGAGGAGAUAGAGGGAGAGCGGUGGAUUCCCCCGCCUCCUCUCGAGGAUCACUCUACAUAAAAGUAAAAUGCUUGGUAUGUUUUUUUGUUGUUCUUAAUUAACAGUGCAAAUUCUUUUUGGUAUUUGCCUGCUCGCUAAAAUUAUACACAUUUCUUCUGUUGGUAAA